CCCGGUGAUCUAGCCAUGGGCAGGUUGAAGGUUGGGUAACACUAACUGGAGGACCGAACCGACUAAUGUUGAAAAAUUAGCGGAUGACCUGUGGCUGGGGGUGAAAGGCCAAUCAAACCGGGAGAUAGCUGGUUCUCCCCGAAAGCUAUUUAGGUAGCGCCUCGUGAAUUCAUCUCCGGGGGUAGAGCACUGUUUCGGCUAGGGGGCCAUCCCGGCUUACCAACCCGAUGCAAACUGCGAAUACCGGAGAAUGUUAUCACGGGAGACACACGGCGGGUGCUAACGUCCGUCGUGAAGAGGGAAACAACCCAGACCGCCAGCUAAGGUCCCAAAGUCAUGGUUAAGUGGGAAACGAUGUGGGAAGGCCCAGACAGCCAGGAUGUUGGCUUAGAAGCAGCCAUCAUUUAAAGAAAGCGUAAUAGCUCACUGGUCGAGUCGGCCUGCGCGGAAGAUGUAACGGGGCUAAACCAUGCACCGAAGCUGCGGCAGCGA
rnacentral:rRNA from 1 species